AUUGAACGCUGGCGGCAGGCCUAACACAUGCAAGUCGAACGGUAACAGGAAGAAGCUUGCUUCUUUGCUGACGAGUGGCGGACGGGUGAGUAAUGUCUGGGAAACUGCCUGAUGGAGGGGGAUAACUACUGGAAACGGUAGCUAAUACCGCAUAACGUCGCAAGACCAAAGAGGGGGACCUUCGGGCCUCUUGCCAUCGGAUGUUCCCAGAUGGGAUUAGCUAGUAGGUGGGGUAACGGCUCACCUAGGCGACGAUCCCUAGCUGGUCUGAGAGGAUGACCAGCCACACUGGAACUGAGACACGGUCCAGACUCCUACGGGAGGCAGCAGUGGGGAAUAUUGCAAUGGGCGCAAGCCUGAUGCAGCCAUGCCGCGUGUAUGAAGAAGGCCUUCGGGUUGUAAAGUACUUUCAGCGGGGAGGAAGGGAGUAAAGUUAAUACCUUUGCUCAUUGACGUUACCCGCAGAAGAAGCACCGGCUAACUCCGUG
rnacentral:rRNA from 1 species